GCGCCCGUAGCUCAAUUGGAUCAGAGUGUAUGGCUACGGACCAUAAGGUUGGGGGUUCAAAUCCCUCCGGGCGCGCCA
rnacentral:tRNA from 1 species